CUCAUGUUAUAGACUGGAGUAACACUAAGUUGAUUAAACAGUUAGAAUUUAAAACUGAAUUUGAUUACAGAGAAACUAUUGAAAUUGAAAAAAACAAAGAUAUUGUGUUAAACAAGGAAGCUGGUCCAGGUCUAGAAAUAAUCAAGUACUGAACAAAUGUUUUGUAACUGUGUAGUUUAAGCCUAGAUGGCAUUAUUGGUAUGUAAAUGAUUAUGUGGGUAUGUAACUCCCAGUCAAGCCUUUACUGUUAUUUCUGAAGAUGAUGUCUUAGGAAAAUGUAGAGUAUUUUUUAGAGCAAGUCCCUGUUUUUAAUAAAUAUUCAUUGUGUAAUGAUUUUAAUGUUGUAUUUCUUUUAAUUGUUAAUAAAUGUUUUACACAAGUGUCGUUUUAACUCAUUAAUAUUAGACUAUAAUUUGAAGUUCAUGAGUAUCCGAAGAUUUGGGCACACAGAUUGUUUUUUCUUCGUGGAGAUUGGCCGAUCUGCGGUAACAGGAGCAGGAGUUACUGCACAAAAUAUGCAUGAAGCCAUUUUAGGAGCAAUGAACCUUCAAGAACAAAGAAUGAAUUAGGCCUAAUACCUCAACCUAGGAGUGCUUCAAAUAGUGAAAACACAAAACCUAUUUUCUUUCAUUGGCAUGGAAGUCUGUUUCCUUAUACCCAGAGCAUGAAUUUAGAACAAAUACCAGUAAUUCAAACUUCAAGGGAAUGCUGUGAUAGCAUGCCAUCUAGAACACACAAAAGUAUUGAAAACCAACAUGAUCUACCUAGUGGCAGUUACAGAAGAGUCAUCUAGGGAUCCAUUUCGAUCAGUGUAGAGUUCGAGCCUAUUCUGUAGGUAGUCAAGCCACUAAAACAUCAGCUAAGCAUCAAGGUGCAAUUGAAUCAGAACUUGAGACUUUGAAAUCUAUGGAUGAAAGAGUUUCAAAAAAAUCUUCUAGUGCACUUCUUCUUCCUAGUGGACUUUGUUGGACUAGAUCCUUUAUCAGCAAGAGAGAUUACAAUGAAGACUUGAUGGAAAUGGACUAUAACCAAGCACCAAAAGUUGAAACAAAUGCAGACCAGGAGCAGCCAGAACCUGUAAAAAAAUACUCCUUUGCAAGUAGUCAAUAGAGGUCAAACAGUUGUUCAUCAACUGGUGCUUCACCUAUGUCGUCAUUAACUGAACUCUCUGGAAAGCCAGAAUUUAAGAACUCGAGGCUUUCCAAAAAAAGUGACAACACCUUGCAUGUUGUUGGUCAGGGAGCUAACUCUUCAGAUAGUGAUAAACUAAAACAGGAAAAUUAACUUCAAUUAACUGGAGAAGAAAGUGGGUAUAUCUGCAUGACUUAUAGAGCAAAAGAUAAAAAUAACUAUGUAAAUAUGACACCAGAGAAAGGACAAACAGACUAUUUCAUGAUCACUUCAUCUAACAAUAUAUUGACAUCAGAACAUGUUUCAACAGAUAAAACAUCUGUGAAGUCUUUAUUAUCUUCUACUAAGUUCUAUGGUGGAAACUACAUGAAAACAAAAGUCCAAGAAGUGUCUAAGGCUCAGUCAGAACCACUAGAUGAUGAAUAAAUAUGUAAGCCAGCUAGGAAACAGAAAUACACUACAGAUUUUAGUGUAAAUAAAGUGUCAGUGAACAACGAAACUAGCUUAGUUAAUUAAGUCUGAGCCUAUAGAUCUGUCAGGAAACUAUGUAACUUUAGACCUGAAUCAUACUACUUAUGCCACAAACUUAGUAUCCACCAGUGUGCCAGAAAGUAAUUUUGGUUUUAUGUUAUCGCCUUUCAAACCUAACCAUGUCCCAGAAGAUGUGAGCAUUCAACUGAAUGAAUCUGGGAAAUUGACUUUUCUAAAUAUACCCUCAAGUUCACCAUUGUUAGAAAGUAACUACACAGUCAUUGCUUCAUCGCAGACACCUACCUUAGAACAUGUCACAUUAGCAUUAUCAAGCAUCUGUAGAUCCUUUCCUUACCCCACUGUUACUGAAAACGUGUCUUCAUCCCAAGUUUUAUAUGUUCCUGUUAUACAAAAAAGCAGCAACAAAGAAUUCUCAACCAUUGCAGUCUCAGUCCACCAUUAAGAAAAAGAUGACAGCACCACUUUGCUCUGCCUUUUUCAGGGCUGUCUCUUGUUAAGAUUGGUGAAACAGCAGGUGAUUGGUGAUGAGUGAAGAUGAAUUGGUAGAACAUGAAUUCUUUCUUUAUUAACAACCAAGUCACAUCUCUCUACUAUGCUUGUUCCAGCAGAGACUAUUUCCCACUCAUCUAAUUAGAAUAAGUCCAGAUUGUUUGGUAUGCCAACAAAUUCCCCCACCUCUCUACUGACAGAAGCAAGAGACAGCCACAAUUUGACUGAAAUUACCUGUGAAGACAUAUCAUUAGGUGGAGAUUCAAUAUCCAACUCACACCCCUCAUAUUUAGUUAGUAACUAUGCUUUUCUUGACUUGACUGCUACUCCUCCAGAGUCAGACAAAACACCAAAGUCUUCCCUUACACUGAAGAUGAAGCUGGAGAGCAUCCUCUUUUGUAUAUUGAAAUUGACUUUAUUUAAUCAGAAAGCUCAAAGAAUUCUUCAUGCUGUUUAUGGGAGAACAGAGUUUAAGUAUUUGUAUUAGUACCUAGUCUUUAAGAUGUUUUGUUGACAAGUGAAAGCAAAGUGACUGUACCUACUGCAACAAUGAAGAGCUGGUGUAUGUAAUUUAGGUAAGCUCAUUAUAAGUGAAAGCAUUGAUAAAAGUUAUUAAAGGGAGAUAAAGUAAACUUAAUGGUUCAUUAAAAGAAAAUUAUUUGAAAAGCUUUUUGUAUGAGAAGUUGGAAGUUUGUAAAGUUAAUUAAUCUUUAUGUUGUUUCAAUUUGCAUUUUUCAAGUGAUUUAUUUUAAUAGUGUUUAAAAGUAGCUAAAAACUACAAAUAAGAAGGAAUCUUUUUUCUUUCUUGUUCUAAGUUAAAUUCAAGUGCAAUACACAAAGAGCUAUCAUCCUUAUAUUCCAGCAAGAUUUGUAAAUAUUAGUUUUACAAAAGUUAAACUAGUGUACAUCAUUUGUUAGUAACCUUUAAGAAGGUUUAUGCUCAAUUCUGCAUUUCCUACUUCAAAACUGGCUAUACAGAUGAUGUAACAAAAGUAUAGUGUUACUACUUUAUUCCAGAAAUAGCCUAGAAUGACAAUUUAUUUACCUAAUUUUGUGUGGUUCAUCAACCCAAGCUUGUCAGUAUUGUCUUAUUCUCAUUUAGAUAUAGAAUGUUGCAGUGCUAAACAGUGGAUUUUAUUGAUGUUUGUUUUACAGUUAUUGUUAAAAGUAUCUUGUUUGAAUUUGAGUGAUUACAUUUAUUGCAAUAGCUAUCAGUUAUGAAUUUUGGCCACUGCUCUCACUACUAAGUAUAUAGAUAAAAACUUACUCUAAGGUUUCUUUCAUAAGAUGUUAAAGAAAUUAUAUAUCUACCCCAAAGCUAGUUUCAUCAGAAUGUUAUUAGGUAGACUUAAUAUUAUUCUUGGUAAUAAACAAACUAUGUUUUAUAUCAAUAUUUGAUUGUUUUCCUUCCAUUAUUUUCCAUUUUAUUAAUUAUUAAAUAUAUUAGUGUGAGAAAAAAUGAUAAUCCUGAUGAAAAUCUAGAUAUAAUGAUUAGUAUCUUUUAUAACAAGAAUAUUUUGAAUGUGGUUUUUUUUACAGUGUAACUUGUAUUAAAAGUGAUAUGUGUAUUAGCUUCAAAUCAAGGCAGCCUGUGUUUGAAUUAUUAUCUACAUUAUAAUCCAUUUUUUAAGAGUUUUAAUAUUAUUUUAUUGAACAUUUGAAAAUUAUGGUGGUUCAUU